UAAACUGUCAAUGCCCUAUUGGACAUUCUUUGUGAUGUUCUUUAUUCUGACCCCAAUAUGGACAUAGCCAAGUUGGAUAUUUCCUCUGGUUGCAUUUAUUUUUUUACUGCCCCAAUUAAGGAAUUCUUGAUGUUUACCAUUUUGUGCAUUAUAAACCAGAGAUAGGAGGAGCAUGGGAACUUCCUUUUAAAAAAAUAAUCAUUGUCAAUUAGCUCCGUCUGGCUCAGCGGCUCAGACUGGGGCCCUAGACAACGGCCAAAGUUCUCCGCACUCCCGCUCAGGCUCUCCCCAAGGCAGUUCAACUGAGUGCCAAGUCCAAAGACACCAAAACAGAUCACAGUUAACGCAUUAUUGAAACUCCAAACAUCCAUAGCAGUUUCAUGUGGACAGAUUGCAUAUUUUGAAAGCUCCAGAUUAUUUUAUCAUUCAACAUGCCUCGUGGAAUCUUUGAAGCAUAGAGCUCUGCCCAGUACCCGAAUAGAGAAUCCGUCCCCUGGCAUGUGAGAAGAGCUCCUCACCACCAUGACAAACCAGGAAAAAUGGGCCCACCUCAGCCCUUCAGAAUUUUCUCAGCUUCAGAAAUAUGCUGAGUAUUCUACAAAGAAGUUAAAGGAUGUUCUUCAAGAAUUCCAUGACUAUUGAUUUUGAAGGUUUCAAACUAUUCAUGAAGACAUUCCUGGAAGCAUAGCUUCCCGAUGAUUUCACUGCACACCUUUUCAUGUCAUUUAGCAACAAGUUUCCCCAUUCUAGUCCAAUGGUAAAAAGUAAGCCUGCUCUCCUUUCUGGUGGGCUGAGAAUGAAUAAAGGUGCCAUUACCCCUCCCCGUACCUCUCCUGCAAAUACGCGUUCCCCAGAAGUGAUCCACCUGAAGGACAUUGUCUGUUACCUGUCUCUCCUUGAAAGAGGACGGCCUGAGGACAAGCUUGAGUUUAUGUUUCGCCUUUAUGACACGGAUGGGAAUGGCUUCCUGGACAGCUCGGAGCUAGAAAAUAUCAUCGGUCAGAUGAUGCAUGUUGCCAAAUACCUUGAAUGGGAUGUCACAGAACUUAAUUCAAUUCUCCAUGAAAUGAUGGAAGAAAUUGACUAUGAUCAUGAUGGAACAGUGUCUCUGGAGGAAUGGAUUCAAGGCAAAAUGACAACUAUUCCACUUCUUGUGCUCCUGGGCUUAGAAAAUAACGUGAAGGAUGGUGGACAGCAUGUGCGGAGACUCAAGCACUUUAACAAACCUGCCUACUGCAACCUGUGUCUGAACAUGCUCAUUGGCGUGGGGAAGCAGGGCCUUUGCUGUUCCUUCUGCAAGUACACAGUCCAUGAACGCUGUGGCCAGAGCACCUCCCUCUUGCAUCAAGACCUAUGUGAAGUCCAAAAAGAACACGGAUGUUAUGCAUCAUUACUGGGUUGAAGGCAACUGCCUGACCAAGUGCGAUAAGUGCCACAAAACGGUGAAAUGUUACCAGGGCCUGACAGGACUGCAUUGUGUUUGGUGCCAGAUCACAUUGCAUAAUAAAUGUGCGUCACAUCUAAAACCUGAAUGUGACUAUGGACCUUUGAAGGACCAUAUUUUACCACCCACAACCAUCUGUCCGGUGGUAUUGACUCUGCCCACUUCAGGAAUUUCAGUUCCUGAGGAAAGACAAGCAACAGUGAAAAAAGAAAAAAGUGGUCCCCAGCAGGCAAACAAAGUGACUGACAAGAACAAAAUGCAAAGAGCCAACUCUGUUACUGUGGAUGGGCAAGGCCUACAGAUCACUCCUGUUCCUGGUACUCACCCACUUUUAGUUUUUGUGAACCCCAAAAGUGGUGGGAAGCAAGGAGAACGAAUUUACAGAAAAUUCCAGUAUCUACUAAAUCCUUGUCAGGUUUACAGUCUUUCUGGAAAUGGACCAAUGCCAGGGUUAAACUUUUUUCGAGAUGUUCCUGACUUCAGAGUGUUAGCGUGUGGUGGAGAUGGAACUGUAGGCUGGACUUUGGAUUGCAUAGAAAAGGCCAAUGUAGUCAAGCAUCCUCCAGUUGCAAUUCUGCCUCUUGGGACCGGCAAUGAUCUAGCAAGAUGCCUGCGAUGGGGAGGAGGUUAUGAAGGUGAGAAUCUGAUGAAAAUCCUAAAAGACAUUGAAAACAGCACAAAAAUAACGUUGGACAGGUGGAAGUUUGAAGUCAUACCUAAUUACAAAGAUGAGAAGGGAGACCCAGUGCCUUACAGUAUCAUCAAUAAUUACUUUUCCAUUGGCGUGGAUGCCUCCAUUGCGCACAGAUUUCACAUCAUGAGAGAAAAACACCCAGAGAAAUUCAACAGUAGGAGGAUUUUGUCUGAGAUGCAAGUGUCACUCGUGCAGGGGAAGCUUGACAAGGACACUUUAACCGACAACACCUGCACUAACCUGUAAGAUGAGAGAGAAUAAGAAUCCCUACCUCGUGAGAUUAUUGAGAGGAUGAAAGGAAUGAUGAUCAACCACUUGAAUUCAUAGCUCAAAAAUAAUUUUGCAUGUCUCUGAUCUCUCAGAUGAGUCAAUACACAGACUCUCACGUAUUUUGCUUUCACAGGGUAAUGUUUAGUUCCCUGCCUAUAUUCUAUGUCUAUAAACUGUCAUUAUCAUGGCAAGCAUCACCAGAAUGAAUCAAAACAUACAUGGAAAGCUUCUGCUAGAUAAUCUUAAAAUAAUAAAUAUAAACUAAUCUAAAAAAAAUAAUAAUAAAAAUAAUCAUUGUCUCAGCUCGGCACCCACAGCCCAGUGGUUAGGGCGCCAGCCACAUACACCAGGGCCUGCUACACAACAAUGACAUCUACAACAAAAAAAUAGCUGAGUGUUGUGGUGGGCGCCUAUAGUCCCAGCUACUUUGUAGGCUGAGGCGAGAGAAUUGCUUAAGCCCAAGAGUUCGAGGUUGCUGUGAGCUGUGACACUACAGCACUCUACUGAGGGCGAAAUAGACUCAGUCUCAAAAAAAAAAAAAAAAAAGUCUCCCUUCAGGGGGCAAGCUUCCAACAUACCACUAUGUAAAAUAGUCAGCUCUCAGUGUACUAUAACUUGGUUCAAAGAAGUCAAUGCUGUCACUUUUUCUUUUCUGAGACUUGCUAUGAUUUCCAGCUGGAAGAGUGGACCACCUCAAAAACAACAGUCUUUCCACCCUAAAGAUCUCAGUAUUUCAAAGAAAUGGGGGGAAUGUGUUUGGACCUGUAUUAUAAAACGUAAUCUUUUUGUUUUUUUCUUCCAACCUCCCAAGACAGAACCUUGAUUUUUCCCCUGGACUACAGUGCAGUGAUGUCAGCCUAGCUCACUGCAACAUCAUACUCCAGGGUUCAAGCAGUCUUCCUGCCUCAGCUUUCUGAAUAGCUGGGUCUACUCACACCACACCUAGCUAAUUCUUAAAGUUUUUUGUCGUUACUGGUUUAUUUUUAGAGAUGGGGUCUCCCUGUUACUCAAACUUGUCUCAAACUCCUGGCCUCAAGCAAUCCUCUCAUCUCCGUGUCCCAAAGUGCUAGGAUUAUAGGUAUGAGCCACUGUGUCUGGCCAAUUUUUUUUUUAACGAGUACACUCCUACAAGGUCAUAUUCCUUCCACACUGAGGACACAAACGACUAAACCAAUACAGGAGAGGCAGUUGAUUGUAAAUUGGGCAUGUCAGAUGAAGACUGGCUUUUCUGUUCUUUUUUUUAUUUUUUUUUUCCAGACAGUCUCUGUCACCCUUGGUAGAGUGCCAUGGCAUAAUAGCUCACAGCAACCUCCAACUCCUGAGCUUAAGCAAUUCUCUUGCCUCAGCCUCCCAAGUAGCUAGGACUAACAGGCACCCGCCACAACGCCCAGCUAUUUUUAGAGACAAGGUCUCAUGCUCUGGCUCAGGCUGGUCUUGAACCUGUGAGCUUGGGCAAUCCAUCUGCCUUGGCCUCCCAAGUGCUGGAAUUAUAGACAUGAGCCACCGCACCCUGCUGAAGACUAGCUUUUUUUAAAUGAAUCUCAUCUCAAUGCAUAUUUGAUCACCAUACUUUAUGAGAAUUAUCAGGACAACACGUAUGUAAUAAUAGAUUUUCAUACUGUGCAUUAAUGAGAAGAUUUUUCAUUAAGUCCUCUUAGGGGGCAAUAUUAAAGAGGAAUCAUCUAAUUAAAUGUCUUCCUUACAUUUAGAGGUUUCUUUGCUGGAAAGGGGCAAGUGGGAAAAUAACAUAUUUUAUUGCUAACUAGAUGUAUGGUGCUUUUUUUGUUUUUUUUUUCCCCCGCAAUACUGAAUGUUUU